rnacentral:lncRNA from 1 species
GGGGGGGGAUCUAUUUCAUAAUUUCACCAAGCUAAAUUAUUUGGCACACAUAAAAUUAAUUAGAUGAUACGUAUUUACGAUAUAAUUUGAUUUUUUUUUUUUUUUAUAAUUGGGGAGGGAGAUGAAGUGAGCAUGUAAAACCUAAAACAUAGAAGGUUAACUGUAAAGAAAAAAAAAAGAUUAAGUUUGAUGGUUAAGUGUUUAGUUUAUUCUUAUAGGUCUUAGGUUGAAGCCACACUUUUCUCAAUUCUUUUUUCUUUAUUUUUCAGCAACUUAUGGUAUAUUAAUUAGUGCAAAAAUAUAUCUAAGUAUGGG